AUUGAACGCUGGCGGCAGGCCUAACACAUGCAAGUCGAACGAGUGGCGGACGGGUGAAUAAUGUCUGGGAAACUGCCCGAUGGAGGGGGAUAACUACUGGAAACGGUAGCUAAUACCGCAUACCAUCGGAUGUGCCCAGAUGGGAUUAGCUAGUAGGUGGGGUAACGGCUCACCAAGGCGACGAUCCCUAGCUGGUCUGAGAGGAUGACCAGCCACACUGGAACUGAGACACGGUCCAGACUCCUACGGGAGGCAGCAGUGGGGAAUAUUGCACAAUGGGCGAAAGCCUGAUGCAGCCAUGCCGCGUGUAUGAAGAAGGCCUUCGGGUUGUAAAGUACUUUCAGCGGGGAGGCGUUACCUGCAGAAGAAGCACCGGCUAACUCCGUGCCAGCAGCCGCGGUAAUUC
rnacentral:rRNA from 1 species